UACGUAGGGUGCAAGCGUUGUCCGGAAUUAUUGGGCGUAAAGAGCUCGUAGGCGGUUUGUCGCGUCUGCUGUGAAAACCGGAGGCUCAACCUCCGGCCUGCAGUGGGUACGGGCAGACUAGAGUGCGGUAGGGGAGAUUGGAAUUCCUGGUGUAGCGGUGGAAUGCGCAGAUAUCAGGAGGAACACCUAUAGCGAAGGCAGCUUGCUGGGACGUUACUGACGCUAAGGCGCGAAAGCGUGGGGAGCGAACAGG
rnacentral:rRNA from 1 species